rnacentral:lncRNA from 1 species
GAGGUGUGGUGAGGUUGUUUUCGGAAAGAGAUAGUUAUGCUAUGAUGAAGGAAAAUGUGUAUGAAGGAGAAUUGGUGGUGUGGGACUCAUUCCCCAAGUGGUUCUUUAUAGUGCCCAUGAGUGAAAAAUGAACGGCUAGGGUGGUUUGUGAAGGGUGGCUUGAUGGUAAAUAUAUGAAUUGUAGAUAAGGACGAUUGGCUUUUCAUUUUCUUGGAAGUAUUCUGGAUGCAUUAGGUUGUACAUGUAGCUUUCUUUUCUUGCAGAACUUCCUUUUCCCAUGUGUUAGUUUCAAAGAUUUGUGAAUUUUCUUUUUGACCAAGCACGUACCUCCCUUUGUCUUUUUCCUCCAUUUUUGUCUUUUCUUUUGUACCUGCACAAACAAACAAAUUUGCUAUCAUUUUUCGGUCCAUGUGAAUUAUGAAUA